GCCGGGUGCGUUGGCAUGUGCCUGUAAUCCAAGUCACUGGGAGGCUGAGGUUGGUGGAUCAAGUGAGCUGAGGAGCUCUGGGCUGCAGCACGCUAUGUCGAACGGGUGUCCACGCCAGUUCGGUAUAGAUAUGGUGUUCCUGGUGCGGGACCACCAGGUUGUCUAAGGGGGGUGAACCGGCCAGGUCGGAAACGAAGCAGGUCAAAUACCCCGUGCUGUCCAGUAGUGGGAUAAUACCUGUGAGUAGAUGCUGCAGUGCAGCCUUGGCAAAACAUCGAGACCUAAUCUUUU
rnacentral:SRP_RNA from 1 species